CGUACACUCCUGCGGGAGGCAGCAGUGGGGAAUAUUGGACAAUGGGCGCAAGCCUGAUCCAGCCAUGCCGCGUGAGUGAUGAAGGCCCUAGGGUUGUAAAGCUCUUUCACCGGUGAAGAUAAUGACGGUAACCGGAGAAGAAGCCCCGGCUAACUUCGUGCCAGCAGCCGCGGUAAUACGAAGGGGGCUAGCGUUGUUUGGAUUUACUGGGCGUAAAGCGCACGUAGGCGGACUAUUAAGUCAGGGGUGAAAUCCCGGGGCUCAACCCCGGAACUGCCUUUGAUACUGGUAGUCUUGAGUUCGAGAGAGGUGAGUGGAAUUCCGAGUGUAGAGGUGAAAUUCGUAGAUAUUCGGAGGAACACCAGUGGCGAAGGCGGCUCACUGGCUCGAUACUGACGCUGAGGUGCGAAAGCGUGGGGAGCAAACAGGAUUAGAAACCCGGGUAGUCCCAUG
rnacentral:rRNA from 1 species